rnacentral:rRNA from 1 species
UACAGAGGUCUCAAGCGUUGUUCGGAUUCAUUGGGCGUAAAGGGUGUGUAGGUGGCGCCGUAAGUCGGGUGUGAAAUUUCGGAGCUUAACUCCGAAACUGCAUUCGAUACUGCGGUGCUUGAGGACUGGAGAGGAGACUGGAAUUCAUGGUGUAGCGGUGAAAUGCGUAGAUAUCAAGAGGAACACCUGCGGCGAAGGCGGGUUGCUGGGCCGACACUGACGCUGAAGCGCGAAAGCCAGGGGAGCGAACGGG